rnacentral:rRNA from 1 species
AUUAGACGAAUCAUCUGGAAAGAUGAAUCAAAGAAGGUAAUAAUCCUGUAGUCGAAAAUGUUGUCUCUCUUGAGUGGAUCCUGAGUACGACGGAGCACGUGAAAUUCCGUCGGAAUCUGGGAGGACCAUCUCCUAAGGCUAAAUACUCUCUAGUGACCGAUAGUGAACCAGUACCGUGAGGGAAAGGUGAAAAGCACCCCGGAAGGGGAGUGAAAUAGAACCUGAAACCGUGUGCUUACAAGUAGUCAGAGCCCGUUAAUGGGUGAUGGCGUGCCUUUUGUAGAAUGAACCGGCGAGUUACGAUUUGAUGCAAGGUUAAGCAGUAAAUGUGGAGCCGUAGCGAAAGCGAGUCUGAAUAGGGCGUUUAGUAUUUGGUCGUAGACCCGAAACCAGGUGAUCUACCCUUGGUCAGGUUGAAGUUCAGGUAACACUGAAUGGAGGACCGAACCGACUUACGUUGAAAAGUGAGCGGAUGAACUGAGGGUAGCGGAGAAA